UCUUCCGUAGUAUAGUGGUUAGUAUAUGAGCUUGUCAUCUUAGGCAUCGCUCGGGACCCGGGUUCAAUUCCCGGCGGGAGAG